AUUGAACGCUGGCGGCAGGCCUAACACAUGCAAGUCGAACGAGUGGCGGACGGGUGAGUAAUGUCUGGGAAACUGCCUGAUGGAGGGGGAUAACUACUGGAAACGGUAGCUAAUACCGCAUACCAUCAGAUGUGCCCAGAUGGGAUUAGCUUGUGGGUGGGGUAACGGCUCACCAAGGCGACGAUCCCUAGCUGGUCUGAGAGGAUGACCAGCCAGACGAGAAUGGAGACACGGUCCAGACUCCUACGGGAGUCAGCAGUUGGGAGUAUUGGACAAUGUGCGCAAGCCUGAUGCAGCAAUGGCGCGUGUAUGAAGAAGGCCUUCGGAUUGUAGAGUGCUUUCAGAGGGGAGGCGUUACCCGCAGAAGAAGCACCGGCUAACUCCGUGCCAGCCGCCGCGGUAAUAC
rnacentral:rRNA from 1 species